rnacentral:rRNA from 1 species
AUGAACGCUAGCGACAGGCCUAACACAUGCAAGUCGAGGGGCAGCACAUGAGUAGCAAUACGAUGGUGGCGACCGGCGCACGGGUGAGUAACACGUAUGCAACCUACCUGUAAGAGGGGGAUAACCCGGAGAAAUUCGGAUUAAUACCGCAUAAUACUGUUGAACUGCAUGGUUUAACGGUUAAACAUUAUGGUUUACAGAUGGGCAUGCGUAUGAUUAGUUAGUUGGUGAGGUAACGGCUCACCAAGACAACGAUCAUUAGGGG